AGGGGGAUGGGUAUCCCAUUUUUCAUGAUGUGCUUAUUUCACAUUGCAUGCCUGCAUCAAAACAUCUCAUGUACACCGUGAAUAUAUACGCUUAUUACAUACACAUUUUUUUUAAAAAAGAAUUAUCUGAUGUAUUUCAAAAUGGUUACUUUUCCCUUCUACCUGCUGAAGACACGAGUGAAUUUUUCUCCGAUAGCCACUGUGAGAACCUGGUUGAGCUCCAUGAGAUUAAAUUUUUCAAAGGUGGUGAGGGGUGUGGGGAGGUGGGGACUGAUCACUGUAUUGACCUGGAGUUUUUAACUUUCAGACCUGUCUGCGCUGAGUUUAUAGCAACUGUCAAUUACAGUUCAGGUUGUCCUACCUCAGCAUGACUUUCCAAAGAGGCUUUUGCUCGUGGAUUUCUGCUCCAAUGCAACAGGAAGGUCCUCACCAGUUGGCUGAGCAGAUGCAGGUGUUGUGCCUCUGGACUGCCUAGCCUCCAGAACCGUGAGCCAAACAAAGUUCUAUUCAUUGUAAAUUACGCACUUUGUGGUAUUCUGUUAUGCAGCCGAAAAUGGACUACGAUAGUAUUGUAAACUUGUAUUCCAUGAUAUUUACCCAAAGUAUGUAGAAAGCCUGGCUCAGACCCUCAGAGCUGCCCACUGGACCCACAGCUGAUCAUAGAUGCUUGUGUGAGCCCAGCCAGAACGAGAAGAUCUCCCAGCAGACCCAUAGACUCAGGAAAAAUAAAAAAGCUUACGGCUUAAGUCAA